rnacentral:rRNA from 3 species
AUGCAUGUCUCAGUACAAGUUUUUCUGAAACGAAACUGCGGAUGGCUCAUUAAAUCAGUCAUGGUUCCUUGGAACGAGUUGCCCUACAUGGAUAACUGUGGUAAUUCUAGAGCUAAUACAUGCCACCAAGCGCUGACCUUACGGAAAGCGUGCUUUUAUUAGGAACAAGACCAACCCGGGCUUGCCCGGCUUUGUUGGUGAACUCUGGAUAACUUUGCAGAUCGCACGGUCAUCGUACCGGCGACAAAUCCUUCAAACGUCUGACCUAUCAACUUUCGAUGGUACUUUAUGCGCCUACCAUGGUCGUAACGGGUGACGGAGAAUCAGGGUUCGAUUCCGGAGAGGGAGCCUGAGAAAUGGCUACCACA